rnacentral:rRNA from 1 species
ACAAUUUUCAGCGACGGAUAUCUCGGUUCAAGCAUCGAUGAAGAACGCAGCAAAGUGUGAUAAUCAUUGUGAAUUGCAGAAUUCCGUGAAUCAAUGGAUCUUUGAACGCAUAUUGCACUUCUGGGUAAUCCCUGGAAGUAUGCCUGCUUCAUUGCUUGUG